UUGACCUCAAAUCAGGUAGGACUACCCGCUGAACUUAAGCAUAUCAAUAAGCGGAGGAAAAGAAACUAACAAGGAUUCCCCUAGUAACUGCGAGUGAAGCGGGAAAAGCUCAAAUUUUGAAUCUGGCGGUCAAGCGACCGUCCGAAUUGUAAUCUAGAGAAGUGUCUUCCGC
rnacentral:rRNA from 1 species